rnacentral:misc_RNA from 1 species
UGUGAUGAUGCUCUAGGUGGGCUCCUGCUCCUGCUCCUGCUUCUUGGAGGAGGGGAUCUCAAAGGGCCCCUGCUUGUGCUUCUUGGAGAACGGGAUCUCACAGGACUCUUGCUAAUGCUUCUAGCCCUUCUUCCCCUCACGGGACUUCUGCUGACACUUCUAGCUGGACUCCUGCUGCUACCACUUCUAGCAGGACUUCUGCUGAAACUCCUC